GGUACUGAUAUUUAUUGUGUUCACAGGCCUGUCUUCCAUUGAAGUGAAGUCUGCUCCGAUGACAUACUGCUGUAGGGAAAUCUCUCUGGGUAAGAGCCCAUACCCUAAUGUUGUGGUGGACACCCGGUUCUACAAGAUUAUCAAAGAUGGGAUGCCACAUGUCUCAUGACCAGACUUUGCCCUUCCAGAGAUGUACACUAUAAUGGAGAUGUGCUAGAACCUGGAGCCAAUAGUGUGUCUAAACUUCAGUAACAUUGGUCAGCUUAUCCAGAGGCUACUGCUUGACCAGCCAGACCAGUCCUCCCGGUUUUGACCCUUGCCUGUAUUCUGGACUCUGUGCCCGCCUGCCUGACCGCCGACCUGUACCUCUGCCUUCCUCUGGAUUACCGACCUCUGCCUGCCUUGACCUGUCUUCUGCUUG